GGUUUUACAAGAAGUUUACUGUCUUUAUAUUAAAAUUUGAAUUUAACUUUUAAGUGAAAAGGCUUAAAUAAUUUAAAGGGACGAUAAGACCCUAUAAAACUUUACAUAGAAGAGUAUCUUGAUAAAUUAUUUAUGUUUAAGUUUAAAGAAGCUUUGAAUAUGUUUUGUUGGGGCGACAAGAAUAAAAUAGGAAUUGUAACUGUUAAUAAAAAAAAACAAAUAAUUUUUGAAGAAAAUAAUAAUGAUCCUUAAAAAAGAGUAGAAGACUAAGUUACUUUAGGGAUAACAGCGUUAUUUUUUUGGAGAGUUCUUAUCAAUAAAAAAGAUUGCGACCUCGAUGUUGAAUUAAAAUUUCUUUAUAAUGUAGCAGUUAUAGGAGAAAGUCUGUUCGACUUUAAA
rnacentral:rRNA from 1 species